AUUCAGCUGACGAAUCCUAAAUGGGGCGAAACGUAUGUCAUAGAU
rnacentral:hammerhead_ribozyme from 1 species